GUGUCCUGUUCCAGCUGUCGCUGGCCAUGUGAAGACAUUAUUCCCUCCAGCCUCCAGUGAUUAACCUCCAGUUACUGCUGAGUUCUUCUGGUGUAAUUUGAUUCAGUCAGGAUGACCUGGACUGGAAAAGACUAUUACGCCGUGGACUGUGAAUGGUGGCAGGUUGCUGAUCUCUUCAGAGCAGGUCCUGUGGUCAGUGAGGUGCGCACCUUCCCGCCCCCAUGGGUGAAUAUCUGUCAACAAGGUGGUUCAUUGUCAUUCUGCUGUGAAGAUGGAAGAAAUCUGCCUGUAGCGACACAGGAAUGGCAAGGUUCAGUCCUGCAAAGGGCUUAGUGUCUCCUCCCAGGUGCUGAGCAUUAUCAAAUCCCAUUGGUGUUGAAGAAGAGGCACAGAAUAUCUGAAAUCAGUCACCAAAAACCUCCUUCCACUCCUAAUCAGGGUG